CUGGGUGUGGCGCAGUUGGUAGCGCGCUACCUUGGGGUGGUAGAGGCCGUGUGUUCAAGUCACAUCACUCAGACCA
rnacentral:tRNA from 1 species